AAGUUGUGUUAUAUAUAGUAAAAGGCGUUUGAUCCAACAAACGAAUUUAACUGGAUAAUAGCAUUUAAUAAUAAAGAAAGUAAAACUUUUGCUCUUGGAAGUAAAUAUCUCGGGUAGUAUUAGUUAAGGUAAAAUUUAACUAGCUUAAUACGCGUAGUCGUGACUGGAAGGUUGAUCGACCACAGUGGGACUGAAUAAAUCCCAUGACGAUUGUCUCAGCAGUGAGGAAUAUUGGUCAAUAGCCUAACGGCUGAACCAGCAACUUGGAGGAAUGUAUAGCGAAAGCUACUUGCAUUUAGCUUAGUUAAAGCUAAGUUUAUGCAGGAUUGACUAUGUCGAAUAAAGUUCUAGGUGGGUUAUGAUGAUGACAUUUCCUAUCUAUGUGUCUUGACCAAAUUACGUGCCAGCAGUCGCGGUAACACGUAAAAGACUAGUGUUAUUCAUCUUUAAUAGGUUUAAAGGGUACCUAGACGGUAAAUCAAGUCCAAGAAGGGUACUAAUUUGCUAGAGUUUAAUGUGAGGGGGCACUAAAGUACUGAUAAGUGUAGAGAUGAAAUUCUGUGAUACAAUAUAUGGCACUGGCAAAGGCGAAAGCAUCUCAUUAUGUAAUAACUGACGUUGAGGGACGAAGGCUAGGUGUAGCAAAAAGGAUUAGAUACCCAAGUAGUCUUAGCAGAAAAUUAUGAAUGUCAUAGGAUGGAAAGUUGGAUGGAUAAACAACAAAACUUUUUCUAUAAAUGAAAGUGUAAGCAUUCCACCUCGAGAGUAAUUUGGCAACAUUGGAACUGAAAUCAUUAGACCGUUUCUGAAACAAGUAGUGAAGUAUGUUGUUUAAUUUGAUGGUCCGCAAAAAACCUUACCACAAUUUGAAUAGAAAUUUUUGUUUCAUACAAGCGCUGCACGGUUGUCUUCAGUUAAUGUCGUGAGAUCUUGGUUAGUUCCAUUAAAUUAACGUAAACCCUUACUUUAUUUUUAUAUAGAGUAGUUCWCCGCUASAUUGGWUGU
rnacentral:rRNA from 1 species